rnacentral:rRNA from 1 species
GCGACGCACACUCAGUCCGUAAGGACAGGGUAUGACGGAGCGGCGAACGGGUGAGUAACACGUGAGCAACCUGCCCCACAGAUCGGGAUAGCCCAGGGAAACCUGGAUUAAUACCGAAUAUUCUCCUUGGACCACAUGGUCCGCUGAGGAAAUGCCUUUGUGCUGUGGGAUGGGCUCGCGACUUAUCAGUUAGUUGGUGGGGUAACGGCCUACCAAGACAAUGACGAGUAGCUGGUCUGAGAGGACGAUCAGCCACACUGGAACUGAGACACGGUCCAGACUCCUACGGGAGGCAGCAGCAGGGAAUCUUGCGCAAUGGACGAAAGUCUGACGCAGCGACACCGCGUGGGGGAUGAAGGCCUUCGGGUUGUAAACCCCUUUUAGGAGGGAAGAAAUUGACGGUACCUCCAGAAAAAGGACCGGCCAACUACGUGCCAGCAGCCGCGGUAAUACGUAGGGUCCGAGCGUUAUCCGGAAUCAUUGGGCGUAAAGAGCUCGUAGGCGGUUCAGCAAGUCGGCUGUGAAAGUUCGAGGCUCAACCUCGAAAUUGCAGUCGAUAC